AAGAAUCCCGACCAUCGGGACCUCUGCCGUCUGAAGACGAUGAUCAUCCAAAUAGUUCUCCGGAUACCAUCAAGACAGGCCGAGUGAGUGAUCAAAAGAACGCCUCGCGGUCAUUGUCUCCUGAGAAUAACGACGAAUUUCAAGUUAAUGAAUCGAAAAGAAACCAUGACAAUGAGAACAAAGUAUCAUCAGAUAUACCCGCGAAGGAAGGUCCUUACCACAAUGAAAAUAACAAAUCUGACGAAGCGCCA